rnacentral:rRNA from 1 species
GUCCACGCCCUAAACGAUGUCAACUAGGUGUUGGAAGGGUUAAACCUUUUAGUGCCGUAGCUAACGCGUGAAGUUGACCGCCUGGGGGAGUACGGCCGCAAGGCUAAAACUCAAAAGGAAUUGACGGGGACCCGCACAAGCGGUGGAUGAUGUGGAUUAAUUCGAUGCAACGCGAAAAACCUUACCUACCCUUGACAUGUCAGGAAUCCCGGAGAGAUUUGGGAGUGCUCGAAAGAGAGCCUGAACACAGGUGCUGCAUGGCUGUCGU